CAGCAGCCGCGGUAAUACGUAGGGUGCAAGCGUUAAUCGGAAUUACUGGGCGUAAAGCGUGCGCAGGCGGUUAUAUAAGACAGAUGUGAAAUCCCCGGGCUCAACCUGGGAACUGCAUUUGUGACUGUAUAGCUAGAGUACGGCAGAGGGGGAUGGAAUUCCGCGUGUAGCAGUGAAAUGCGUAGAUAUGCGGAGGAACACCGAUGGCGAAGGCAAUCCCCUGGGCCUGUACUGACGCUCAUGCACGAAAGCGUGGGGAGCAAACAGGAUUAGAUACCCCGGUAGUCCCUGUCUCUUAUAA
rnacentral:rRNA from 1 species